rnacentral:rRNA from 1 species
GACGAACGCUGGCGGCGUGCUUAACACAUGCAAGUCGAACGGAAAGGCCCUGCUUUUGUGGGGUGCUCGAGUGGCGAACGGGUGAGUAACACGUGAGUAACCUGCCCUUGACUUUGGGAUAACUUCAGGAAACUGGGGCUAAUACCGGAUAGGAGCUCCUGCUGCAUGGUGGGGGUUGGAAAGUUUCGGCGGUUGGGGAUGGACUCGCGGCUUAUCAGCUUGUUGGUGGGGUAGUGGCUUACCAAGGCUUUGACGGGUAGCCGGCCUGAGAGGGUGACCGGGCACAUUGGGACUGAGAUACGGCCCAGACUCCUACGGGAGGCAGCAGUGGGGAAUAUUGCACAAUGGGCGGGAGCCUGAUGCAGCAACGCCGCGUGCGGGAUGACGGCCUUCGGGUUGUAAACCGCUUUCGCCUGUGACGAAGCGUGAGUGACGGUAAUGGGUAAAGAAGCACCGGCUAACUACGUGC